AAAUUGAAGAGUUUGAUCAUGGCUCAGAUUGAACGCUGGCGGCAGGCCUAACACAUGCAAGUCGAACGGUAACAGGAAGCAGCUUGCUGCUUCGCUGACGAGUGGCGGACGGGUGAGUAAUGUCUGGGAAACUGCCUGAUGGAGGGGGAUAACUACUGGAAACGGUAGCUAAUACCGCAUAAUGUCGCAGGACCAAAGAGGGGGACCUUCGGGCCUCUUGCCAUCAGAUGUGCCCAGAUGGGAUUAGCUUGUUGGUGAGGUAACGGCUCACCAAGGCGACGAUCCCUAGCUGGUCUGAGAGGAUGACCAGCCACACUGGAACUGAGACACGGUCCAGACUCCUACGGGAGGCAGCAGUGGGGAAUAUUGCACAAUGGGCGCAAGCCUGAUGCAGCCAUGCCGCGUGUAUGAAGAAGGCCUUCGGGUUGUAAAGUACUUUCAGCGGGGAGGAAGG
rnacentral:rRNA from 1 species